GACGAACGCUGGCGGCGUGCUUAACACAUGCAAGUCGAACGGAAAGGCCCCCAUCUUGGUGGGGGUGCUCGAGUGGCGAACGGGUGAGUAACACGUGGGUGAUCUGCCCUGUACUUCGGGAUAAGCUUGGGAAACUGGGUCUAAUACCGGAUAGGACCAUGGUUUAGUGUCUCAUGGUGGAAAGAUUAUUGUUUUGGUGCAGGAUGAGCUCGCGGCCUAUCAGCUUGUUGGUGGGGUAAUGGCCUACCAAGGCGUCGACGGGUAGCCGGCCUGAGAGGGUGGACGGCCACAUUGGGACUGAGAUACGGCCCAGACUCCUACGGGAGGCAGCAGUGGGGAAUAUUGCACAAUGGGCGCAAGCCGGAUGCAGCGACGCCGCGUGGGGGAUGACGGCCUUCGGGUUGUAAACUCCUUUCGUUAGGGACGAAGCCGCACUUUUUUGGGGUGUGGUGACGGUACCUUUGUUAAGAAGCACCGGCUAACUACGUG
rnacentral:rRNA from 1 species